UUUAGAUCCUAGAUGGUUUUGUUCAAUUCUUUUACCUGUUUGGAUGUGUUUUCCUGUAAUUCUUUAAGGGAUUUUUGUGUUUCCUCUUUAAGGGUUUCUACCUGCUUACCUUUAUUCUCCUGUAAUUUCUUUAAGGGAGUUAUAUCCUUAUAGUCUUCCAUCAUCACCAUGAUAAGUGACUUUAGAUCCAUAUCUUGCUUUUCUGGUGUGAUGGUGUAUCCAGGACUUGCUGUGGUGGGAGAAUUGGGUUCUGAUGAUGCCAAGUAACCUUGGUUUCUGUUGUUUCUGUUCUUAUGAUUGCCUCCGCCAUCUGAUUAUCUCAAGUGCUCCCUUCCCUCUCAUUGGAGCCUGUCCUUCCUGUAAUCCCAGUUAAGUCAGAACUUCUCAGAGUCCAGCUUUCUUUGUGAUCCUGUGAUUCUGGAAUCCUGUGAUGCUGAGAUUCUGGGUGUGUCAGAGCUCUUGGCAGUCAAGCUUCCUCUGAGAUCCUGAGAUCCUGGGUUGUAUCCCAUGAUCCUGUCAGUACUAUACAGCCUGCUAUUAUGGAUACAUAGUAUUUUACAUCAGACACUGAAAUCUCCAGCACGACUUUCUGCUAAGGACUGCUUUUGCUAUUUGGGAGUCUUCUGUGCAUCUGUAUGAAAAACGUUGGACUAUUCUACUGAGACCUUGAGGUACACCAUGAAACAGAAAAAAUAGGAAGAAAAGCUUUACAGGAUAUGCAAGUCAGAACUCGGAGAAUAUAUACAAUGUCCUGUAUCAGUAAAGAUGUGAAAGAGGUGACAACCAGUAUCACGACCGGCUUUAAUAUUUUGGGAAACCACACAUUUCCCUUCAAACCCCAGCUACACAGAGGUCUGGUUUUAAAACUACCGCUUAGGGAAAUGAUACACCCAAAGCAACGAUCCCCUCGAGAAAAGGAAUAAUUUGAUCAAUUCUACAGAACCGUUCCCAUUCAAACGUUCCCAAAUCUGCAGAGUGAGCAAACGUUCAAGUUUCUACUAGCAAGAAGACAAUCUGCAGCCUUCUGGUUACUGGACUCUGAACUCUUCCCAGACUCACGAAGCGAGAACAUUCCGCGCAUCUUCGCGCCUGCUUCUCACACAAAGCCCCUGGUUGAAGAAAAGUCGCCCUAGGCGGGCGUCGGCACUCACGGCGGUGCGGCCCACCCGGGGUCUCUGCCCACGGCGCCCCUUUCGACCCUCCGGGGAGCCCUCCAAGCGCCCGGCCCCGGAGCGCCUCCACGCCGGUGCCCGCCCACGCCCCAACAGCUUCAGGCCGGGGCGCAUUUAGGCAGUGGAAUCAGGGGGCCACGGUCCCGGCCGGCCUCGCACCCCUAAGGGCAGCCCCCGACCUCGGCAGGCUCGCCAGCCGCUGCCCCCCGGGAGCCCAAGAGGGCCGGCCUCUGCUCGGUGCUCCGCCACCCGCGCUCGACACCGCCCCCGCCCCGCCUCUCCUCCCCGCCCCGGCUCGCGUGGCGCCUGCCGGGUCAGGAGCGCCCGGCCGGCCGGGCGCCGCCACCUGCGCCCCCGGCCCC
rnacentral:lncRNA from 1 species